CCACCGGAAGGUAUAUAAGUAUGUUCUACUUUAGUAUCAUACGUUAUUAAUUUGUCAUAUGCAUUUAAGUUGAUAUUUUUGUUUGUGCAGGUAAAUAAUAUCUUGUGGAUUCUAGUUAUCCAAAUAGAAAGGGGUACCUUGCACCUUAUAAGGGUCAGAAGUACCACAUUUCAGAAUGGCAAAAUGCGAGGCAACCUAUUGGUAGCAAAGAAGUAUUCAACUUUGCACACUCUUCGCUACGUAAUGUUAUAGAGCGAUCAUUUGGGGUGCUUAAAAUGAAGUGGAGAAUUCUUCUAAGUCUCCCUUCUUUUUCGCUUAAGAAACAAUCCAAGAUAAUUAUUGCUUGUAUGGCAUUGCAUAACUUCAUUAGAGACAGUGCCCUACACGAUAGAGACUUUGAUCAACUUGGACCUAAUAGCCUUGGUCAUGAUGUACCCGUAGGUGAGAGUAGUAGUAGCACAUCUGAUGAGUUAGACAUGAGUGCAUUUCGAGAUGCAAUUGCUAAUGCAUUAGUGUCAUAGUUUAAUAUGUGAAUGUAACGAUACUUAUGUUGUAAUGAACUCUACUAAUUAUAAUGUAAUGACCUUUUGUUGCUUCGGUGUUUAUGUGUAUCGUUUGUUCAAACAGAAUCUGCAAUCUGAGAAUAUGCGUAUCCAAACACCUAAAUUCUAACCAACAGCUUUUCUCCACAGCAGGCCAACCAAACACCUAAAUUCUAACCACCAGCUUUUCCCCACAGCCAGCUUUUCAGAAAAGCUAUUCAGAAAAAACCGAACCAAACAGGCCCGUAGGGCGCUGUGUGUGUGGUGGUGUCACGGGUGCGUGCUGCGCGAGCAGGCACCGAGCGAGCACGCACGUCUGCUCUUUGCGCGACAGCAGAGGGGUGGGCCACGCAGACGGUUGGGCCACGAGGCGGACUGCAUGGGGACGCGACAAUGGACUGCUGGUGAAGCAAGGGCUGGGCGCGGGAGCGGGGCUAAGGCUAGCCUAGUAGCGCCGGGGGCGUGGGCCCCGGAGUGGGCCAGAAGCAGAUCGAGGGGCACCGGACCUCUUCCCUUUUUUGUUUUCUUCUUUUCUUUCCUAUAUUUUACAUUUCCUUUUCUAUUCAGUUUCAAAACUCGAGCACAAAACCCAAGACAAUAUGAAUCCAUAUCAAACAUAUGCAACAUGCAAAAUAAAAUAUGUGCUUCAUCAUGGUGCAACAUUUCACGAAUAACCUAGGUUUUUAUUUUCUAGGAUAUAAUUACAUGUUCAAAAAUUAAUCCCCUUUAAAGAAAAAGAGAAAAGGCUAACUUGGAGGGGAAAGAAAGGAAGAGUAACCCCUGAGUUUGUUGGAUAUUAGAAAAGAAAUUUCUAUACCCCUAAAUUUAGGGUGUUGCAUUGCCUCCAAUUCGCGCUGGAACCACCGCCGCCAACAACACAGGCAAAGAACAUAUGGGUUAAGCACCGGGCCUGCUAGUCCUCGACACACCGACAACACGACUCGCUCUACGAUGCCAUCAAGCUAGUGCAUGCCUCAGGUGUCAGCCACUAAGGCUAGUCACCCGGACUUUGGUCCCUCGGUCAAGUCCCAGCGCUCGUCCUUCACCGCUCCAGGUCCAUCGGCAUGAACCUGCAUAACCUUCACCUUCGCCAUUGACCAUCGUCCCUGUGCUCCACACAUGCACACCACAAGCCGACAGACAUGGUUGCACAAUACAUAAUUCACAGCUCGGUUAGUCCACGACUCAACCUGAGAUGCUAUUCGUUGACAAUCACUCAUCAUCAACCCAUAUCACAAGGGACAAAUCGACCUUGUGUUCGCAAUCAAAUAGGCUAGCCAUAAUUUCUUCAGUGAUCCUUUCAACUCUGGCCUUCUCCGCGGCAUCAUAGUAUGCCACCAAGGCGAGUUCACUGCUCUUUCCUUCUCUAUCCAUCUUAAAAAACUACUAAGAUUGCAAAAAGUGAAGCUCUAUCGAAAAGAGGUCUCCAAAGUAAGCUUCGGGGUGCAAGCUAAUGGCAACUGCAUGAUGGCGAAAGCAAGAAAAUGCGAUGUCUAAUUGCAUCGAACCUGAUCUAUUUUAUAAGCAAAAUAAGCAGGAAUUUAAAAUUCAAAUUUUAUCCCACCACUGCAAGUGGUCCCCUUACAAUAGGUUCUUUUACAAAGGCGUAUUUUAAAGAAUUUGUUUUCGCUAACGAGCUCAGGGAAUAUGUUUUUUUGGACCUUCGGCAUGAGUUCUUUAUUUAUUUCGCUGUCUAGGCUCGUUAUGAAAAAGGAACUAAUACCGUGAUGGGCUACUGAUGGGGGGUCCUCUUUGGCCGAAGGUCUUCAAAAUACUAACUCCAGCUAUUUUUAGAAUGUUUUAACUACAACAUGAUAAAGUGUCGAAGGAUACCUUUGUCUAGGGGAUGAUGUGCUGAUGUCAUGGUUCAAGGUUGAAGCAGCAAGCUUCAAUUCAGUGUGGCGCAUACAUGACAAACAAACAAGCUAAAGUCAUGAGAAGUCCUCAAGACUUGUUCAAUAAGGUAAUGGAAGGAAAAGACAUAGAUGCCUUUGUUCAAAUUUAUAGCUUAUAUGUAUAGGUUUGAGGGUAUAAUUGUAAUUUUGCCGAAGCCAUACGUCCCGACUAUAAAUAGAGGAACAUUGCCAUGCAUUGGACACACCUUUUUUUAGGCUUGCAUCGCUCUACUUAUGAAGCUGUGUACAUCCAUCAUAUUCGUGCUACUGGCUAUAAAGCUGAAGAUAUAUUUGUGAUCAUUUGUUAUAUUGUAAAGAAUGAAGCAAAGUGUUAAUAUAUCCAGAUGAGUAAUUCAUUCUAUCCUUGGUAUAUUGUGCAUUACUCUGGUUGCUCCUAUCAAGGGGGAGUCACCUUCAAAUUCGGGAGAAAUAUUGAAAGAGUUGUUUGCCUCUCUUUGGAGAAACUAGCUUUGAUUCAGCUGUUGUGCUGAUUUUGUGCUCCGAUGUGGUUUUGAUAGCUAUCUAGUGGUGUUGAGCCCUUCUUGAGGACUAGCUUCUUUCGCUUGGUCGUGUUGAGUCGUUGCUCAUUUCUUUAGGGACCAAGCUUUUCUCGCUCUAGAUGACUAGUUUUGGCUUCUAUACGACUUUUGAUCAUUUGAGUGAGUUUCUCUUCUUCUUCCUUAUUUUACUAAUAUAUAAUCAUGUGGUGGUGUUGACAAUACACUCAUCAGGGGGGAGAUUGCAAACACAAAAUUGAUUUCUCCAUUAUGAUUCUGGUUGAUGAUGAGUGAUUGUCAACGGGUAGCGUCUCAGGUUGAGUCGUGGACUAACCAGGGUAUGAGUUAUGUGUUGUGCAACCAUGUCUAUUGACUUGUGAUGUGUAGGUGUGGAGCACAGGGACGGUGGUCGACAGCGAAGGUGAAGGUCAUGCGGGUUCCUACUGAUGGAUCGAGAGCGACAAAGGACGAGCGAUGGGACUUGACCGAGGGACCAGAGAAGUGGGGUGACAAGCCAUGGUGGCUCACACCUAGGACACACACUAGUGCGAGGACAUGGCAGAGCGGAUCGGGUUGCUGGCGUUGUCGAGGAUUGGCAGGACAUGUGUCCAUAACAUGGGGGACGCGCAUGCGGUGCGCUAGUCGUGGUGGUUUCGUGGUUGAGCCUCAAAACUACAGAGCUACUGAUUUUGCUAAGUUUGGACCUCAAAACUCAACGAUGGUGGUUCCGACAGGAAUAGGAGGUGACACGUAACAUCAUCGCGAAGGGUGUUGAGGUGAAGCAACUUCGUUUGGAGCAUGUGGCCGUCAGAUCAAAAUCCCAAGAGUUAGUCCAUUUUGCCCCUAACUAAGUGGAUAAGCUCAAUGUAUCUAGGGAUAGUUUAGGAAAUAGAAAUAACCUUCCAUAAAUAGAUGGGUGGGUUGGUCUGGACAACGAUGUCUUUGGCUAUUUUCAUUUGGCACUAGUUUAGAAACUCUAGUUUUCCAUUUCCUAGUUUAGCCGAGAUUCAAAGGUGUCUUAUUCGCAUCUGUGUCUUGUAAUCUUCAGCUCUGUAUCCAAAUGAAGGGUGGCUAGAUCCAUUCACAUAGUAGUUCAAAUCUUGUGCUCAGUUUUGUCUCCACUGCAGUUUUUAGUUCGAGUGUGUUUUCGUUCUCGUUUCCUCCCCUCUCUUUUGGAUUUGUGAAAAGAACCAUCAAGUUCUUGAGUUGUGGGUACUGUUGGGUGAUGGGAUAUGCUCUUUGGAUCACUGUAUAUGCCCUGUUGGUGCAAUUUUUGGUCAUGAUCCGAGUUGAUCUCAUUUUGAAUUUGUUCUAGAAAACCCCAACUCUUUCAACAAAUCUGAUCUAGGCUCGGAGUUUUUUUGUUUCUCUGGUUGACACUUCAUUAAUCAUCUUCUUUGUGUCUGCACGAACUCCUGCUCUAAAAUUUUGUAGAAAGUUGUGUAGGUUCGUAAGUAGUAGUUUAGUUUAUUCAAUUGACACUGGAUUGAGACAUCCCUUUGUGUUUGUGUUUGGAAUUGGGAUCAAGCAACAGUGCUCACAAGUUGAGGAAUUUUUAGUGGCACCAAUUUAUCCCCCUCUGGUUGACUCACCGGUCCUUCACACGGCCGCCCCAACUCUUUGCAGACCCGAUGGAAGUAUUCGAAGACCGACCGAGCAUGGACUUGCAUGCUUUGUGCGAAACCCUCUGAGCGUAGUUGUUGGAUAAACAGUUCAAUGUCACCUCAUGCUAUGCCCUCGUGUCGGCUAAAUUUUUCCUUAAGAACGCAACCUCAGACUCAGCAGACUUCACUUUCUUGGUUUGCUGCUCUGCCUCAGCCUUCUUGAGCUCAAGCCUCCGCUUGGCCUCCACACAUUCUUCCUUGGCCGCGUAUGCCUCCUUUCGAGCCCUCGCCAUGAGGGCUAGCACGUUAACAACAAUUGCAAGCUAACAAAAACAUUCAGGUGUUAAGCACACACCCAAGAGGGUAGUGAAAGGGAAAUAGGGUUUAAACCUUUUCCUAUAAAUAAUUUUGGUGGUUGAAUGCCCAACACAAAUAAUUGGACUAACUAGGUUGCUCUAGAUUAUAUACUCUACAGGUGCUAAAGGUUCAACACAAACCAAUAAAAAGAUCAAGUUAAGGUUCAAAAAGAAAGGAGCAAAAGAAACCCAAGUGUGCCCUGAUCUGGCGUACCGAACUGUCCGGUGUGCCACCGGACACUAUCCGGUGCACCAGGGCCAUACGACUUCAAACUCUUCACCUUCGGGUUUCAGAAGCGCCUCUCCGCUAUAAUUCACCGAACUGUCCGGUGUGCCACCGGACUGUCCGGUGCACCAGCGGAGCAACGGCUAGCCAGCGUAAUGGUCGACUGCAACGGUCGCCUGCAAGCUACAGUGCGCUGACAGUUCGCGCAGAGGUCAGAGCAGCCGCCAGAAGGCGCACCAGACAGUGAACAGUGCCUGUCCGGUGCGGCACCGGACUGUCCGGUGCCACAUGAAGCCAAAGCUCCAACGGUCGAAACCGUCAGAACCCUAACGGUUGGGUGACGUGGCUGGCGCACCGGACAUUGUCCAGUUUGCGCACCAGACUGUCCGGUGCGCCCAUCGAUAGCAGCCUGCCCCAACGGUUGAAUUGGUGGUUGGGGGCUAUAAAUACCUCACAAUCACCUCCACUCCAACCAUCCAAGCAUUCACUACUCCUUAUUCAAUACAAGAGCAAUAGACUCCACUCCAAAGACACAAUUCAAGUGAUCGAUCCGCUCAAAGUCUCCAAUUCAACUCUACCGCAUUUAGACUUGUGAGAGGAUCCUUUUUGUUUCUUUGUUGCUCUUGUUUGCUUGGCUUGGCUUUCUUUUCUUUCUCACUUCUUACUCUCAAGCUUUGUAAGCGAGGCCAGAGACAUCAAUUGUGUGGUGGUCCUUGCGGGGUCUAUGUGACCCGUGAGAUUAAGGAAGAAGGCUCACUCGGUCUAAGUGACCGUUUGAGAGAGGAAAAGGGUUGAAAGAGACCCGGUCUUUGUGACCACCUCAAUGGGGACUAGGUUCUUUAGAACCGAACCUCGGUAAAACAAAUCAUCGUGUCAUCCGCUUUACUUUGUUGGUUGAUUUGUUUUCCCCUCUCUCCCGGACUCGGAUUUUAUUCUAACGCUAACCCCGGCUUAUAGUGUGUUUAAAGUUGUAAAUUUCAAUUUCCGCCUAUCCACCCCCUCUAGGCGACUUUCAGGUAGCAAACUCGAUAUCGGGAAAAUAUAGUAAUCUUACUGAGCAGAGGGGUGAACGGCCUCCCUUAAUGCCCCUCCGUAACCAUGGAGGCAUCAACCUCCCCCGUGCAAGGAUGGAGGAGUGCACGGUUUCCCACGCCUUGAUCGUCGAACCCGACCCAGCCAAGGCUUCCUGGACAGCCAGCACCCCACCUACGCAACACAAAAAAUGUUAAAACCCCUAUUGGUGAUGCUGCUUUCAGCGGCGACCUUGUCUCCAGCUCGAUAUCAGCGAGGUUGAAGUCAUUGACCACCAGUGGUGCAGAGGCCCCUCCAGCCGCCCCGACUAUCGCUGCCUCAGCCAACGCCGCGGUCUUUGCCUCCUUAGCAGACCUCGUAGCUAUGACAGGGUCAGCGGCACGGGCCUUCCACUUUUUCUACUGUCCCUCUAUGUCACAACUCCGUAGGUCGGAGCAGCCACCUUGCCCUUCUGGUCCAUUAAUGUUAUGUGAGUACAGGAAUAUAAGCAAGUCCCUUGCUACUCUGGCUAGCGCGACAUCUUCAGUCACAUGCCACAGACAUUGCCCGCACAACUAGGGGUGGAUAUCGAGCCAGCUCGGCUCGUUAUGGCUCGGCUCGUUAUAGCUCGUAACUAUAACGAGCCAGCUCAGCUCGGCUCAUUAUACUAACGAGCUAAACAGCUGGCUCGGCUCGGCUCGUUAGGAAGCUCGAGCCAGCUCGUUAGGCUCGCGAGCCACACAACUAAAUACAAAGAUGUAUGUACAUAAAUAUAUAUAUAAUCGAAAAAUCAUAUUUUAAGUGUUUACACUACAAACCCAAAACCUUUAUAGUAUUAUUAUCAUAUCAUUAUCCUAGCGCUUCUAACUUUUAAUAUCAAAUUAAAUAACCAAAUAUGUAUUAACUUAUAGAUUUAUAAACCCUUAUUAUAAUAAGAUAGCAACAAGCAUCAUUAUAAAGCAAUUCAUCAUCUAUUUCACAAACAUGUAACAUUUUAUUACACAACACUAACAUCAUAUGCUGCUAGAAACAAAGUUCACAAAACCAUAACCAAUAACCAAAUAUUAAAUAUGCAAUGUAGGUAUGUAGCAAUACAAUAAUGCAAAUAUUUAAGCACAUGACACAUCCACACAUGUCCAUAUCACAGAUCAGAACUACGAAAAAACAAGACUAUGAGAGAUGAGACGACAUCAACGACUAGAUAAACUUGUGUUGUGGCUUAGCUCGUUUGGCUCGCGAGCUAGCUCACGAGCUAAACCGAGCUGACUCAUUAGAGAACCGAGCUAGAAUGCUAGCUUGGCUCGCUACAAAAUUAAAACGAGCCGAGUCGAGCCGAGCUACUAACGAGCCGAGUCGAGCGAGUUAUCGAGCCACGAGUAUUUCGUCCAGCCCUACGCACAACCCAUCGCUUAGCGCUCCCUGAGCCAACCCUCAUUGGAAUUAACUCCUUUCCCAACAUACCCCCGAUCAUUUGCUCGAUGAAGUCCUCCAUAGGUCUAGCCUCCGCGUCGAGCACUGAGCCAGUUGGUUUGCAUGUCUCUGCCAUUUCAAGGGUGAAGGUUGCGGAGGAGGCCCCCACGUCCAUCUCCCUUGAGAUGGCUUGCGGAGUCUUUGUUGAUGUCUAAGACAGUGCAAAUACACUCGUUGGCGUCCUCCGCCUCUUCGGGCGCACCUUUGUGUCAUUCAUAUGCAAGCCCAAUCUGUCUAAACACACGAUUCAAGUGGACGCGGCUCGAUACCCUUAUCCACCUCAUGCUCUAUAAUAGGACCAACCAGGUCUUCUGCCUCUUUGUCUGUCUCUGCUACAAAAAUGUCCCAUGAACGAUCACCCAGAUCCACAACAAAAGCAUGACUUAAAAUUUGUUUCAAAAAACCAGCAAAGUCUCUUCGCACAAUUGGUCCAACAAACCACCCACGGCCCAAUGGCCAAAUCCCGCAAGCUAGGUACUCUUCAACCAAGUCCCUGCCACUACAAGUAACCACAGCAAAAUUGAAGGCCUGAUCAUCGCGAUCCCUCUCUGCAACUACAUAGCACCAAAAAGCCUCAAACUAAAAUGAAGACAUAAUGCUUGGCUGAGGCCAUGACUUGCCCUCCUGAUAGCGCACAUAAAACUAGCUCUCCGUCCACCCUCACUUGUUCUUUGUAUAGGGGGCUAACUCAACCACCUUCUUCUUGGUCUCGCCCGCCUUCGGGUAAACGUAAAGCACUCGAACUGAUCAACAACCCCAUCCAUAACCCUUUCCUAUCAAUGCAUGCAAUAGCGUUUAGCGAAGACCUCAACUGAUGGAGAGCUCCAUCGAAGGUGGUCGUCGCAUAAACAAACUUGCUCAAAGCCACUAUAGCAUUCAGUGUCAAUUGGUGAAGUCGAACCUUGUAUUUUUCAAGCACCCCAAGUAGAAACUCGUGGCAUGGCAAGCGAGUUCCGACAGCAAAAAGUCUCUCGAAGACCAUGACCUCGCCUUUCGGUCGUGGUGUGGUUUCUGCUCCUGUGGCCUGGCCAUAACCAGUAGGAAAGUGCCCCAAUGAUAUCAUCAUCUCCUUAACUCUCUACAACGAGGUUUUUGGCCCACCCAACUCAUAGUUUUUAGGGCCUAGCCCACCACAACGACCAACCCUAGCGAAAGACAAAGCGGCACCUGACUCGACCGCUGGAGUAGUAGGAGUUAUCCCGCUGCUCGGCAACGGCGGCGGCGGCGUCACCAUACUACCACCACUUGGAAGAGGAGGCAUGACUGUGUACUGAGGACAAUGAUGACUGGCGGUUUUUAGGCAUGUCAAUGUGGAGGAGAUCGACAUCGUUCUCUCCGCCAGCAGCGCAACUAAUAGUGGCUUCAAAAACGACACCGCGGUAGCCUAGCCUUGGGACCGCGCAAGCGGGCAUUUAUAGUCAAAUCCCAGUGGCUAACAAUACAACCAUUGAUUUUUUUUUAACGGUCACAUCCAGCGGCCCCCCGAGGUGAUUCACCAAAUGAUCGAGGGCAGCACUUGUCCCCAUCAAAUGAAGGACUUCGGGAUUGGCCCUUCACGAUGAACCAUUCCCUCAGGGGCUGCUAUUGGAGUGGUGGUCGAACCAGUCCUCGAUCAGCAACGUGAAGGUUUGCCCCUCGUCUUGACUAACCAUAAUUGUACAUGACCACAAACAACCGGAGCCUUCGCCUCUUAGCGAUUUUGAUGGAGCCUCCAAUCCAAUAGCUAACGACCGACUGUGAUGAGGACAGGCACCCAAGCGAAGGACCAAGCACGGGACAAGUAUCAAAACUAAGGACUUCGCUGAGCAUGACUCAAUGGCCUUCAGCACAAGCUACUCUCCCAAAAAGCCCGAAGGGCAUCAAGGCGUGAAGGCUCCCCGGAUGACAAUGAAAGCUUCAGGGAAUGUGACCCAUCCAAAUUGCUAGUCUAGAGCAGGCUCCUUGGAGGGCCCACAUGUCAUUGUAACUAGUGGGUAUAACUAUGAGUGCACACCAUUAAAGGGGGUUGUGGUGUUGUAAUUACCCUGUUACACGAAAUAUUGUGAAAUUGUAGUUAGUAACCAAGGGUAUGAACAUACUUUAUACCACCUAUCCUAGGUUGCCCUAUAAAUACCCCCGUCAUGUAGCUAAAUGGGACACGCAUAACGAGACGCUACAGUUUCCUACCUAACGUUUUGUUGUGCAUUGUGCCCUCCUUUCCACCUUUGAGUGUUCGGGUCCACCUAUCAGUACCCAAUAGGCCCCUUAGACUUAAAGUAUUUAUUCAUUUGUUGCCUAACAAGCAAUGAAGUAGAUAACUAGUUAUACACUUCAUUCUUAUAAAUAAAUUUGAUAUUGUAAACUAAAAACACAUUAAGAUAAACUACAAUGAUUAAUUGAUUAUUCGAAAUUAAAUCCAAUGUCUUUGCUAGUCUAUGGGCACUACUUUCUAAUUGCACACAAUCGAUCUGAGUACUGAGGAACAAAUGCAAGAUAGUAGGAGGCAAAGUCGUAGAGGAAGAAGUAGAGGCGAAGUCGCAAAACAUCAAACAACGCACGAGCAAAGGGAGUCAAACGAGUGAGGGAGAACGGUAGCCGGCAGACUGCGCUUCAGAUCCUCGUAUACGUAAAUUGGUCUCGGUGGCUGGCCCCCUCCAUCGUGGGCCCCUGGCUGUCGCUCUUGUGGCCAUGGUUCAGAGCCAGGCCUAAUUAAUUCUCACACAAAUGGAACCCUUACAACAUCUCCAACAGUAAUCCUAAAUGGAAUUGUAUUUUAAAAUAUAUGACUCUAACACCAAAAACUUGCUCAAACAAAGAUCCUAUUUCACAAAUUCAUCAAUUAAUUAUAGGUCUUGGCCUCUCUGGUCCUAAAUAUUGGAUCCCAUAUGUUAGAGCCCUAUCCUUGUUUUGUAUAUUAUUCCCAAUCUUUUAUUUUCUAAAUAACAUGAUCUAUUUCCUAAUAACAUGAUAUAAGACUCGACUAUUUGAGCUGCAAAUGUUUUUGGCCCUAAACUCUUGAAAUCAUGUUCUAUUAUAAUUUUAGUACUCAACUUCUUGUUGGAGAAUCUAAGCACAAAUGGAAGUUUGUGGAAUUUAGGAGCAAGCAAUCUGAGCUUGUUGAUAAGACAAGUCUAGAUUGAGGAAGGCUGAUAGAAUUAGUUAUCAAUCUGGGGGUGUUUAGUUUCUUUAGUCACCCUCCUAAAUUUUUAAAACUAAAUUCCAGUUCCUAGAAUUUCUAUCUAGGAGGUCUCAUCUAAAGUUUCGCAUAAACCUGGCGACUCACACUUUUGGUCCGGGCUCAUGAAAGUUAAGGAUGUUUUAUUUAGCCUUGGUGUUUUUACCCUUAGAAAUGGUGAACAAAUUAGGUUUUGGGAGGAUAAAUGGUUAGGUAACCAAACCCUCAUGGUUCAAUACCCAUCCUUAUACCAAAUUGUUCGGCAGAAAAGUGCCACAAUUGCCAAUGUCUUCAUAUAUGUCCUGCUUAAUGUUUCUUUUGUAGAGCUUUAGUGGGUCAUAACUUGGUUUUAUGGCAUAACCUUGUUCAGCAUCUUGUGUAUGUUAGAUUAAAUACUGGAAAAGAUUAUUUUAGUUGGAAUCUAACCUCAUCGGGGCAAUUUACUGUUCAACCGAUGUAUAGGACUUUGAUCAACAAUGGUUAUGUCUUCCAUCACAAAGUUCUUUGGAAAUUAAAAUUGUCUUUGAAGAUAAAAAUCUUUGUAUGGUAUUUACUCAAAGGAGUGGUACUCACUAAAGAUAACUUAGCAAGACGAAAUUGGCAGGACAAUUAAAAAAUGUGUGUUUUGUGUUAAAGAUGAAACAAUUCGACAUUUAUUUUUUCAUUGCCGCUUUGCCAGUCAUUUGUGGCGACUUUUGUUUUGGUGUUUUGGUGUGAGACCACCUCGGUCAAUUCACCAUGUUUUUGGGAACUGGCUAAUGGGCGUGGAUUAAAAAGCUAGAAAGCUUAUUAUUUCAGGUGUUUCAGUUUUAUGCUGGGCUAUCUGGAUAAGUAGGAAUGAUUUAGUUUUUGGCAACGUCCCUAUGCUAACUUCUCUAUAGGUACUCCUCAGGAGAACUGUUGGGGACUUGUUCUCAAAUGCUAUGAAUUAAGAACAAGGCAACAUAAAAUGUUAAAUAUUAAUGCCCUUCGUCCACUGAAGCAUUAUUUCCCCAAAGAUUUAAUGAACUUCGGACGAAGGCCACGAGCAAGAUAUCACGAAGGUCAUACCUUCGUGAUUAGAGUUAUGAAACAAUGUAGGAUGAAAUAUAAAAUAUUUGAAACAUAAGGGAAUGAUAUAUCAAAAACACAUAAGAUUAUUCGUAUAUUUUUUUAUACAAGCCUAAAUAUUAAAACAUAAUAUUUAGGUACAUUUAUACCUUCGCCUUGGCAGAAAGCAAUAAUUCCAGCGUAAUGUGUCAGUGAUUACAAGAUUGCGUGAACAGUACAGGGGUACUGUUCACCUAUUUAUAGGCACAGGGCGCAGCCUGUGUAUAAUUACAUUUAUGCCAUUUACAAUCAACUACAAUAAUGACACAGAAUAUCAUGGGUCUUUAGGUCAUUUCAUCUUUAAGUCGGUUCACCCCUUCGUCUUGAGACAUGUCACUUGUGCCGAAGCUUUAUAGGCGAUAGCUUCGACAUUGCUUUUGAUAGGAUCUGCCGAAGGUGUUUCUUUCUUUAGGAUCUUCGGCUAUGAAGCAUACCCCCAACAGUAGCCCCUUCGCGGUGCUAGAUCGUUUUUCGUAAAGAGCUUGAUUCGUGAAAAAAUCUUCUAGGCUUCGGGAUGCCGAAGAUCUGAAAACACCUUCCUUGAGCUCGUUGCUGAGAAACGAUUAAAAUAAUCUGUGCGCGAGGUGGCCCCAUCUUCUAGCAGUUGCGCGUGCCCUGGUGAUUCACCUUCUCGGACUCUGUGGCCCACCGUUCAGUGAGUGCGGGUGACUGUUUGUCUGGUGCGGAAGACCUUAACGAUUUACCUUCCCACCUGUGGCACUAUAUAAAUAGAUGGGUAGGUGUGAAGUUAUCACAACAUUCAUUGCUAUUGCACUGUUUUGCUACCAAAACAUUGACCAAAGCCGAAGCUUGCUUACUGCAUCUUCAUCCGAAGCUAUUUGUUUUACUCAAGCUUCGUAACAAGAAAAACUUCGGCAAAGUUAAAAAUUUUCAACUUCAUUCGAAAAACAAGAAAUUCAAUCAUCAGAUGGCCAGAGUACGUUCAACAGCUAGGGUUACUCGCGACGGAGAGGAAGCCGAAGGUACCGAAACUGCUCCAAUCUCUGAAGUGAUGAAGCGUUCAGGGCUGGUAGUAUCGGAGGAUGCACCUGCCGCUGAAGCUGAGAAGGCUGAUGCUGAGGAAGUUGAGUCAGAAGAUGAUUACAGCGUAGUGCCAACUAAACCCAGCCACCUGGAGUUUGGGAAAUCCACCAUUUCCGAAGAUGACAUGUCGAAGCUGAUGAAUUUGGGCUAUUUCAAUGAAGCGAAGAAAGAGCUGGUUCAUUUCAGCGGGGAGGAGAUUACUCCGAAGCCAGGAAAGGAUGAAGUAGUCAUCUUCAAAAGCUUCUUUAAAGCUGGUUUAAGAUUUCCUUUAAACAAGAUGAUUGCUGAUGUUUUGAAGAAGUUUGGGAUCUAUCUUCAUCAACUAACUCCUAACGCUAUCGUUAGGCUUAGCUGUGACGGAACCUCCCAAGUAAUUAGGCCCACCUACAGUUGUCCUUGUCCAACGGACCUCAGACAACCCUGUAGGUGCCCCUGGAUCACUUGACAAGUUCGGUAUCUUCUUUCUUACCUUUCCAGGAACGUUUCACCCGUCUUGCAGACAUUACAGAACAUUGGAGAUAUAGAAAUGCGGAAGCGAUUACAUAAACUUACAUUUAUUUAGAAAUUAAGAUCUAGUUAUUUAUUACAGACCAGAGCUAUAAAACGAGUGCUGAGUAGUAUUAUUACAAUACCAAGGGAGGCAAAAACUCCUCCCGAUAGUUUUAUAAAAGUUUUUAUGGAGGACCAAGUCCUCCCGCAGCUUCACUCUUGUUUCUCUUCAUUUGGAAACCACCUUGGAGCAAAAGCAACAAAAGUUUGUUGCUUCCCCACCUAAAAACAACGGGGGAAUAAACCCUGAGUAUGGAAUUACUUAGCAAGUCUUACCCGACUAAAGAAAAGACUCUCAAGGGUAUGCUGGUUAAGGGAGUCAAGGUAUGGCUUCUCAAUAAUUAAAGACUCUGUUUUGCAGAAAUGCUUACUAAAGUGGAUCCUUAAAAAUCCAGUUUUAUUUGUCAAGUUAAGUAAAAUUACCUGCAACUAGAGUUCUUUCUACCCUAGUUCAAUCACUUGACCUACACUAGCCAGUUUCUUAACAAAACCUUUCAUCUUUACUGGAGUUCUACGUAUAGGGCAGUGACCAAGUCUUCAUAACCACGAAGGUACGGCGAUCCGAAUCGAUUAUACUCAGCUGAGGAUCUCCAAUCACACGACAUAUGUAGCACUUAACCUUGCAUAUGUCAACCCGCCACCGGGGUUCUUAAGACCAGACCAGGUUCACGCGAACCGAGAGCACAGAUACACCACCGUCCAGCCUCUUGCUACGGAGGGUACACGCUACUCUCGCCACCGCUCCACGCUCAUUCCGUGUUAUCUUAUUCUGGCCUUAGUCUGCUCGAGGCAAGGCUUACCCAUGACGAGGCAUGUGACCAGUUAAAGGGUUCUCGGUUAGCAAGCCUACGUCGACACGGUCCUUAAUCGACUCAGACGAAGACACUACACCGAGACUCCUUUCUCGUGCAAGUCACCCGCCCGGUCUCAGCUUAAUCAUUUCAACCCAAAAACUUGGUACCUGGCAGAGGUACAUCUUUUCCGAUGUUGAACCCAUCACGGCCAUGAUGGAUCCACCAUCACAUUUUAUUUUUGAAAACAACCCUCCCACAUUGCCAAACAUCUUUUGUAAAACAAAUCCUUUUGUUUUUCUAGAGCAAUACUAAGCAUAGUAAAACCUUUUUGUAAAAACGAGGUUUCAAGGAAGGUAAUCAAGUUCAAGGAAGGUAAUGCAGGAAUUGUUUAAGCAUUCAACUCCUAUCACCUAAUGCAGCAAGCAAGUGAGAAAGAUUUUAAAAACAUCAAGGAAGGUGGCAAAUGCACCAGGGCUUGCCUUCGUUAGUAGGUGAGUCAGGCUCGGACCCGCAGAUAUCAAAGUAGAAACAAUUUCCGGCCUGAGAUUCCGAAGGUGGUGGUGUCUUCUCUUCAGUUACUUCGAUCUCUUCUUCGUUUUCUAAAUAUAACCAUAUAGGUAUAUAUAAGAAUGAAUGCCAUGUAAUGCUCAUGAGAGUGCAAAGAUAAUAAAGGAUUUAUUAUCUAAGUCUUGAAUACAACUUUCCUUCAUGGAACUCCGAGAACUUAGGGUUUCCGGAGUCAGAAAAGGAGUUCAAAGGGCAGGGGUGGGGGUUUUGGGUUCUAGUUAUCAAACAAGGUUCAAAUCAAACCAAACUCUACCCAAGGCUUCUAACUAAUGUGUAGAGCUCACAUAAAAAGUUUGGGGCAUUUUUUAAAUUACCAUUUAUUUUCUAAAAAUCCAGAACCAAUAGUUUAAGCUAUUUUAAAUACUCUAAAAUUGCCUAUUUGAUCUAAAAUAAUGAAACUAUUUUUAUUAAAUACUAUAGAAAAUAGGAAGUCUAGGAAAAUUGGUUUUACAAUUUUAGGAUUUUUCUACAAUUUUCUAUAAUUGUUGGAGUUCUACUGGAAAAAGAAAAAGAUAAAGAAUGAACAGUCCUGGGCCGAUUUCAGCCCAGGCAGCCCAACACCAGAGGGAAAGCACGCGCGCGCGCCCACGGGGAAGACUAUGCAGAAGAGCCCUCACGGUUUUGGCUAAUUGGAGAUGGGUUCGGUCACUGUUGCACUGAGUCGUGACUGUUUGCAGAAAAGACCCCCGGUUUCUAUUUCUUCGCAGGGGGAGGUCCACGACGGCGGUGAACGCGGGGAGGCUCCGGCGAGCUUGCAGACCGGCCGAACGGGGCCAUGACCGGCGCUAUCGAGCGGCGGACACGAAAUUGGAUCCACCCUGACCAUUUCCCCCAACACAAUUUCACUAAUGGUCACAAGGUUUGUUCUAGCCACGGCGACCGUGAACAUGGCGGACUGUUGAGCGCAUUCCCAAUGAAUCAUGGCGGUCCAGAUCAAUUAAAGGGGCCGGGGAGCAUCACCAGCAUGCAGAGACACGAGAACAAUGCGCGAAUUGGAUGGUGCCUUACCAGAACGGACUGGCCACGGUGGAGUUGUGCUUUGCGGUGGCGGAGACCAAUUUGGGGAAAGUUCGAAAUUCACGAGCUCUAGCAAACGAUUGCUAACGAUUCUCGGUGGCUGGGUGGGUGACGAUCUUGCGCAGCAGUCCCGGCCUUCAAUUUAUAGGGAGCUUCGACGGUGGCGUGCAAUUUGGCCGAGCAACGCAGGUGGCCGAAGAUAAGGAAGAAUACCGGCGUAGUGAAUACGUGUUCAACGUCGUGGCAGCUAUUCCAGUGGGCAACGGUGAGCUAAAGUGAAUCGUGGCGAUGCGGUGGCGAGGAUCAGACACGCGGCGAACAACGGCGACGGCACAAAGGCGGUGAGAUUCUAAUCCGAGGGGCGGUGAGAAAGGGGAGAAGUAUCGUGGCUAGCCGGAAUGGCGUCCAGCUCACCGGCGACGAAGAUCUUUCACCCCGCGACGCUAUCCAUCCACCCUGGGCACGAAUCGUGACGUCGACAGCAUGAAUCACAGCGGAGGGAGCCGUCGGCGGUGAGGUCAGUCGCGCUGGCGAUCUGAUCCAUACACGACACUGUACCAUGGCGAGUGCUCCUUCAAAUAACCUGACGGAGCAACUUUAGGUCCUAUUUUCUCCAGAUUUUCUAUGGUACCAAGCCCAAACAUCUAUAGCAAAGUUGUUCCUCUUUAAUAACUCUACAACUUUGUUAUAGAAACCCUAGGUAGAUUCUCACUGGAUCUUAGUCGAAAUGGAUCUCAAACUUGGAUCCAAGUCACUGUCUAUCUGAAAUUCAGACUGUAUGAGCCUGACAGCCUGACUUCAGGCUUAAUUAUCUCCAACAUCUUCUUAACAACUAUGCUUACACUCUUAAGCAAAGUUGUUAUCCUAUGAUUGGUCUACAAAUUUGAUGUGGUGACCUAGGGCAAACUCUCACAAAUUUGAAAACUACAGAGCUCCAAAGUUGAGCCAAAACUCUGAAAUUCAGACUUAGGCUAUAUAGGACUUAAGAGGUGAUUUUUGCAAAUAGACCCAAAACUUAGGGUUUAACUUGCAAAUUCACAUAUUUGUGAACCAAAGGACUUAAUAUGCCUUAACAUUGUAGUUUUUACACUUUAGUCCAAAUGUGCACAGUUUUUGCACAUAGGCCCCUAGGGUUUGGACUUAGGGUUUUCUAGGGUUCCAAUGGGGGUUUUUGCAGGGGUAUGAAUGUGAUUCAAGUUCAUUCUUGGGAACAUUUUAUGACUAUUCCCCUAAAGCUUUUGGGUCUUCUCAAUUUGGGUUAUGUUUUACCCCUUUAAUCCCUAUUUAGGGUUAAGUUCCCUAUCCAGGGUUCUAUUUGCAAAAUGCUAUAACAAUACAACUUGUUUGAAAUUUUUACCUAGUGAAUGCACUCUAGGUGUAUCAAACAUAUGCAAUGCCAAUGUUUAUGAUGCCAUGCUCAAGUUUUAGUUACAGUAACACCAGGGGUGUUACAUUAGCGUUUAUAUCUGGGUUCUCCGAAGCCAAGGGGUGGAACCGUUUGCCGAAGGCUUCUGCCGAGUGCACGAGCUUCAUUAUCAGACCAAGGCUAAAGGAGAUGGGCUGCAUGAAAACUUUGGCUGCUACAAUUUUGCCUAUCGCAAGAGUACAAAAUUUCCAGUGAUCAGUUAUCGUAGCAAGUGGCCAGCUGGCUGGAAGUCUGAGUGGUUUUACGUCAAAGUUGACGAAGAUAAGGAGAAGUUGGUCCAGAGUCCGCUAGAAUUAAUCUUUGGAGAGACCAGACCCCAGUGCAACAUGACACCAGGGAGUCCAAGCCAAAUUGCUCUGGCUGAAUUUAGAGUUAUUGCGGAGCAUAUCGGCACUAGGGACUUAGUGCAAGAAUUCUUGGCUUUCAGAAUGUUCCCAACUUUAAAAGAGUGGGACAUGCCGAAGCUUAAAGGAGAAAAGAAGAAGGGGGAACUUAUUCGGUUACCCUAUCAUUAUAAAUUCAAGAAAUAUUUCAAAGUGCCUUGCCAAGAGUGGCUAGACACGAUUGAAAUAAUGUGCAAUGAGAUUCUCGACAAUUACUCUAAAAAAGAAGAUCAACUAAUGACUGCAGCCUUCGGCACCCGUCCGAAGCGAAGGUUGUACCGAGUAAUGGAUGCUCUAGGCUUUGAGUAUCCCGACUACGAGCGGCUAGACAAGGAUGCCGAAGGGCAGAAGAGAAAGAGAGUGGCUGGUGCUUUGAGUAAAGAAGCUACUAAAUCAAUGAAAGACGAUGAAGAACAAUUGAAAAAGAAAAAGCUAAAGCCUGAGCCGAAAACAGAUGCUUCGAAGAAGAGAAAAGCUACAACUCCGAAGCAGAAGGCAAUUGAUGAAGAAGAAGAAACUGCUGCAACACCCUCUGCCUCUGACGUGGAGGAAAUCUUAAAGGUAAUGACUGAAUCUUUGCCUGUCAAGCUAAGCCCACUGGGGCCACAUCUGACAAAGCUUUUUCAGAAGGAAAAGGAGCCCACAAAAACGAAGAAGGCAGCUAGGCCGAAAAACAAAGAAUCAUUACAGUGACGGAAGUCAUUGAAGGGACACCACCACAAGCUUCAGCUCCGAAGGCACGAGCUGUUGAGAGCACAAUAGCUACCGAAGCUGCACCUUGCCACAACCGAAGAUAUUCACUUAGAAAGCACGAUUUCUAAUAUUGAUAAAAUACUGCUAGACAUGGCCGCAGAAGAAGCUGCUGCAGCCACCGAAGAGACUACGGCCCGAGAGCCCGAGAAGAAGAAAGAAAUAGCCGAAGACACUUCGGAAGAUGAAAUUUUCAACUUUCAAAACUUAGUUGGUCAAGAGCUGACAAAGGCUGAAAAAGAGGAGCUAAAAGAGUAUGUCAUAUCUUGCGGAUAUCGGCCGAAGGCACUUCUCUUCGGUGGUGUCGAUGACGAAAAGUUGGGCUGUGUCCGGGAUCAUACCAGAGCGAAGGUUAUUGGUACUCUAUCAAAGAGUAUUGGUUUCCCGAAGCUCGAGACGGACAUUAGCCGCUACCGACGACAGCACAUCGUCGGUAGUUUAUUCUAUUCCAAUUUCAAGGUAAACAACUUUUCUUUAACUUUUAUUGUUUCAAUAACGAAGAUGUUUUCUAACGAAGGUUGUUUGUGCGCAGAGUAUGCUUUUGAGUAAAGCUUUGAAAAUGCAGCAAGAUUUGGAAGAUAAAAAAAAUGAAGUUAUAAUUGAGAGUUUAGAAAGCAAAAUAAAAGACCAAUCAGCUGCUCUUGAAAAGAAGGACUUCGAGCUUCAGACAACCGAAGGCUUAUUGGCAGAAGCUGAAGCUAAAAUAGCAGAACUAAAUAUGAAGCUUCUCUCCCAGUCAGAAAGCUUCGAACAAGAAAAACAGAAGCUUAAUGCAAAAUUCGAGGUCGAGGUCCAGAAAAGUUCAGAUUUGCAAAAAAUCAUUGACAGGGCUUCAAAACAAAUGUCUGGAGUUCAGUAAUCGAUGUAUACAACGACUGAAGCAGGUCUUUUAUUUGGUUGGAGCCAGCAGCGAGAAAUUUAAUCCUUCGACUGAAGACUUGCCAGGGGCCUUCGAACAUAUCGAAGGUGAAAUUGAUGACCUUGAUGAAGUUAUAGCUGGACAUGGUGACUUUUGUGCCCUGGUAGCUUCUCGGGGCACAGCUGUCGCCUUCCUGAAAUCUGGCUGCGAACAUGGAAAGGUUGUCAAUAGACCCAAUUUUAGUUUAUCACCAGCAGAUCUGAAUAAUAUUCCCAACCUUGCCCGAAGUAUAGCCAAUAGAUUUAUAAAACUGGUAUGGACAAAGGGUGGACGAAGCAUAGCUGGUGAUGAAGCUCGGAGUCAUCUUAAGCCGGUAACAAAAUCAUACCUUGUGCUUACCUCUUCCUUCAAAUUUGAAUCUUCCUUACAAUACUUUAAUAUAUACAGGAUGACGAAGCCGACAAAGCUGAAGAGUAAGAAGACGAAGCCGAAGCUUAACAGAUGACGAAGUCGAAGCCGAAGCUCAAUGGAUACAAAUGAAGCUUGAAUAGAUAACUGUAGAAAAAACUCUAAGAACUCUUGUAAUAACCUUUGUAAAGAAUAAUGUAAUUAAAUUUUACUCUAAACUUUGUCCAUGCCUUGUAAUAUAUUCUUACCUUUCCGUCAAUGUAUAAAGUGCUUCGGUGUGAACGAACUUAGCAUUUUUGAGCCGAAGGCGAAGAACACCUUCCCUUCUUUUCGUACACAGUGAAGCAUAAAACUGCUUCUAUUUCUUUUUUGCCAAAGCCUUAACUUUAGAGCCGAAGCAACUGCCUGUGUUAUGAUGAUGAUCCUAUGUAUGUCAAAAUGAAUGUUUAUGAAUGCAAAUGUAUGAUGUAAUGUACCGUGCAAAUGAAUGUCCAAACACACGCAUACGAAGCCACAACCAUAGCCUUUAUUCCCUUAGGAAUAACCAAAGUCUCUUUGUCGUUUAUUUUUCGGCUUCACCGCUUAUUUUUUGGUGUAUCAGCGCUGACUUUUCGCUGUAAGUUCUGCAUUCCCUUAGGAACGUCUUUUGAACUUAUUCGCCUUCUAUUUCGGCGGUAUCGCGUUGACUUUUCGCGCUUCGCCUUAUAUUUCGGCGGAAUCAGCGUUGACUUUUCGCUGUAAGAUCUGCAUUCCCUUAGGAACGACUUUUGAGUAGAAAACUUACACUGCGCUCCCUUAGGAACGACUUUUUGUAGCUUCGUCGUGCUCUGCAUCCCCUUAGAGACGUCUUUCGAGCUUCUCCCUGUUUUUUCUUUUCUCUUUGCACUCGAUGGUGCAUGCUCAACUUUUACAUUUACAUUUUUUUGGGGGAUAUUGCUCUUGUAGAGCUAAAAUAAGAAAAAGAGAAAUUACAUGCUAUGGCCCAUUAAAAACCUUUCUCCCCCUUUAGAAAGGAAAAGGGUGCCAUAAGAAAAAAUAAAAAAGAUUACAUCAAGCUAUACAUAAUAUCGCCGAAGCUCAUCCGCAUUCCAAGAUCUAGGAAUGUCGUUGCCGUCCAUAUCCUUCAAUCUGUAAGAACCGGGUCUUGACGAAGACACUACCAGAAAAGGUCCUUCCCACUUCAAUUGUAGCUUGCCUACUGUAUCUGGGUUGGCAACUCUCCGAAGUACCAAGUGCCCUGGCUUGAUGUUUUUUAACCGAACUUUUCUAUCACGCCAUUUUAUUGUUUCAGCUUGAUAUUUAUUGAUGUUCUCCACAGCCUGAAGCCUGAUCCCUUCUAUAGCAUCUUUUGCCACAGAAUAAUCAGCUUCGUCCUCUGCCGAAGCUACUGUUCUUAUUGAUCCUGCUUUAGCUUCUUUUGGGGUUAUUGCUUCGUCACCAAACAAUAAUUUGAAUGGUGUAAAACCUGUUGACCUUGAUAUUGUUGUGUUGUGGCUCCACACCACUUUGAUCAAUUCAUCUGGCCACUUUCCUCUGGGCUGAUUGAAGAUUAACUUCAUUAUUCCCGUCAUUAUAAUGCCAUUAGCUCUUUCGACAAGUCCAUUUGACUCCGGAUGUCUAACCGAUGCAAAAUGGAUCUCCGUGCCAAUUUGUUCACAAAACUCUUUGAAAGUUUCGGCAUCGAACUGUGUUCCGUUGUCCACAGUAAUAGCCUUCGGCACUCCGAAGCGACAAACAAUAUUUUGCCAGAAAAAUUUCUGGACAGUGACCGAAGUUAUUGUGGCUAAAGGCUUUGCCUCGAUCCACUUGGAAAAAUAUUCUACCGCCACUACAACAUAUUUUAGAUUUCCUUGUGCUGGUGGAAGUGGGCCUAGCAAAUCGAGGCCCCAUCUUUGCAACGACCAAGUGGCUGUAUUAACUGAGUUAGAGACAAAGCUUGUUUCUGAUCUCUUGCACAUUUUUGACAUCCUUCACAUUUUUGAACUAACCCUGCUGCAUCCGAAGCUGCCUUCGGCCAAUAAAAUCCUUGACGAAAAUUUUUUCCCAGCAAGGGCCUAGAUCCGAUGUGAGAUCCACACAGACCUGCGUGUAUCUCCUUCAUCAAUUCGAUACCUUCGAUUCUUGAUAAACAUUUGAGGAGUGGUGAACAAACUCCAUGUUUAUACAAUUCCCCUUCUAUCAUGACAUAUGGUCUUGUUCUUGCCUCCAUUCUUUUGUUAUAAGCUUCGUCACUUGAAAGACAAUUUCCUUGAAGGAAAGAUAUUAUUUCAGUUCUCCAAUCUUCACUGUGCACUGGAGAAAUAGUGAGCACUGCUCUUUCCAUGAGCUCAACCGAAGGUGCUUUUAUUGUUUCAAAAAAUACUUCGGAGGGUAAAGGGAGCCCCUGAGCCGCUGAUUUGGCUAGCAAAUCUGCAUGCUCAUUUUCACCUCUUGGAAUAUUUUUGACAGAAAACCCUUCGAAGGAAGCUUCCAACCUUCGGACUGCAUCCAGAUAUUUUUCUAGCUUCGGGUCUCGUGCCCUGCUGCUCUUAUCCACAUGGCCAGCAAUAACUUGAGAAUCAGUAUUUAGGAUGGCCCUUCUUUUUCCCAUUGCCCUUAGUUUUCGAAGCCCCAAAAGAAGUGCUUCGUACUCAGCAAUAUUAUUUGUGCAACUGAAGUCCAGUUUGACUGCAAAACAUGUUUUGACUUUUGAAGGUGCUACUAGGACUGCAGCUGCUCCUACACCGAAGGUUCCCCAAGAACCAUCACAGAACACCGUCCAAGCUUCGGUAUCCUUGUUUGUCACUUCUUCGUGAGCCCCUGGCGUCCAGUCAGCAAUGAAGUCUGCUAGCGCCUGGGAUUGAAUUGAAGAUCUGUGCACGUAAUCAAUGGUAAAUUCAUUGAGCUCCGCAGCCCACUUUCUUUCCCUUCCAGUAGCUUCUCUAUUCCUCAUAAUAUCCUUCAGAGGCUAUGACGAGGGAACAAUUAUGUGGUAAGCUUGGAAAUAAUGCCGAAGCUUCCUGGAAGCCAUUAAUACAGCAUGCAAUACUUUCUCCAACUCUGUAAUUUUUCUUUGAUAAGCUUAACACUUCAGAGACAAAAUAUACUGGGACUUGCUUUUUAUUUUGUCCUUCAAGCUUCUCUUGUACAAGUGCCGCACUCACUGCAGAGUGCGAAGCUGCCACAUACAAUAGCAGAGGAGCCCCUGGAGCGGGUGGAGUUAGCGUAGUUAGGUCUAUCAGGUACUGCUUUAGCUCUUCGAAGGCUUUCUGCUGAGCUGAUCCCCAUUGAAAGACGUCGGCCGACUUCAGCACUUCAAAGAAUGGUAAAUUUCUCUCUGCUGAUCUAGAUAUGAAUCGAUUCAAAUAUGCCAGUCUUCCUAUCAGCCGUUGAGCCCCCUUCUUUGUGCUUGGCGGCUCCAUCCGAAGGAUUGCUUUGAUUUUAUUUGGAUGAGCUUCGAUCCCUUUUGUUGAAACUAAACAACCAAGGAAUUUUCCCUUUUUUACUCCGAAGACACAUUUUUUGGAUUCAACUUCAGACCAGCUUGCCUAAAAUUAGCAAAUGUUUCCUGCAGAUCAGCAAUGUGAUUUUCCUGCUUCGUGCUUUUUUACUAUGAUAUCAUCAACAUAUGUUAGCACAUUUCUGUCUAUCUGAGAGUGAAGGACUUUCGAUGUCAUCCUACUAAAGCUUCCUCCAGCAUUCUUGAGCCCCUCAGGCAUCCGAAGAUAACAAUAUGUUCCGCUGGGGGUUAUGAAGCUGGUUUUUGGCUCAUCUUCCUUCUUCAUCCAGAUUUGAUGGUAUCCUAGAUAGCAAUCUAGUAUACUCAUGAGCUUUGACAAAGCUGCUGCAUCUACUAGAGAAUCUAUUCUUGGUAAUGGGAACUCAUCCUUUGGACAAGCUUUGUUGAGAUCAGUAAAAUCAAUGCACAUUCUCCAUUUACCAUUGGCCUUCUUCACCAUAACAGUGUUGGCUAGCCAUUCUAGGUAUUUUACUCUUCUGAUGACUCCAGCACUGAGAAGUCUUUUCACUUCAUUCCGAGCACCUUUGGCUUUGUCAUCAGACAUUUUCCGAAGCCUUUGCUUUCUGGGUAUGAAGGAUGGAUCGACAUUGAACGAAUGUUCAAUGACAUCCCUGUUGACACCACAUAGAUUGUUGGCUGACCAUGCAAAAACAUAUUUGUUGUUGAACAGAAACCUUGUUAGAGUUUUUUCCUGUUCCUCAGACAAUUGAGAUCCAAGCAAUACCUUUUGCUCUACUAUAUCUUCACAUAAAAGCAUGGGCUUCGGCUGAUCGGCCGAAACAACCUUCUCCCUUCUGUACUUGUACUGCUCACAAGCUUCUGCUCCAUCUAUAUUAUGAAUUGCUUUUGAGUCUGUCCAGUUUCCUUCAGCCUUUCUAGCAGCUUCCUGACUUCCAUGAAUAGCAAUAGGCCCUUGAUCCGAAGGUAUCUUCAUGCAUAGAUAUGCUGGAUGAAGAAUUGCUUCAAAAGCAUUGAGUGUCCCACGACCAAUGAUUGCAUUGUAGGGGUACUCCAUGUCGAAAAUAUCAAACACAACUUGCUCAGUCCUUGUAUUGUUGACAAAUCCGAAGGUCACUAGCAUCGUGAUCUUGCCGAGCGCUACAAUAUGCCUUCCUCCGAAGCCACAAAGAGGGUGUGUAGCAUCAUGAAUCUUAUCCUCUGGCUCUUGCAUCUGUCUGAAGGCCUUAGCAAAUAUAAUAUCCGCUGCACUGCCUGUAUCAACUAGAACAUUGUGGACCAAAAAUCCUUUGAUAACACAAGAAAUAACCAUAGCAUCAUUGUGAGGGUAAUCCUUGAGCUGAAGGUCCUCUUGGGAGAAGGUAAUUAGGAUAUGGGACCAUCCCGACUUGAUGAAGGGUUGCUGCACUCCGACAUGCUGUACCCUUCUCUGUGCCUCCUUCUUCUGCUUUUUGUUGGCCGGCUCUGAGCAUGAAUCGCCUGUUAUCGGGAGUACCAGCUUCGUAGCCGAAGCAGCUCCAGCUUGGUUGUUGAACGAAGCCAUCAACUCAAAAAGUGGAAGUGAGUUCACCGGAGGUGGGCGCCAAUGUUGGGGACUUGUUCUCAAAUGCUAUGAAUUAAGAACAAGGCAACAUAAAAUGUUAAAUAUUAAUGCCCUUCGUCCACUGAAGCAUUAUUUCCCCAAGGAUUUAAUGAACUUCGGACGAAGGCCACGAGCAAGAUAUCACGAAGGUCAUACCUUCGUGAUUAGAGUUAUGAAACAAUGUAGGAUGAAAUAUAAAAAAAUAUGAAACAUAAGGGAAUGAUAUAUCAAAAACACAUAAGAUUAUUCGUAUAUUUUAUUAUACAAGCCUAAAUAUUAAAACAUAAUAUUUAGGUACAUUUAUACCUUCGCCUUGGCAGAAAGUAAUAAUUCCAGCGUAAUGUGUCAGUGAUUACAAGAUUGCGUGAACAGAGGUACUGUUCACCUAUUUAUAGGCACAGGGCGCAGCCUCUGUAUAAUUACAUUUAUGCCCUUUACAAUCAACUACAAUAAUGACACAGAAUAUCAUGGGUCUUUAGGUCAUUUCAUCUUUAAGUCGGUUCACCCCUUCGUCUUGAGACAUGUCACUUGUGCCGAAGCUUUAUAGGCGAUAGCUUCGGCAUUGCUUUUGAUAGGAUCUACCGAAGGUGUUUCUUUCUUUAGGAUCUUCGGCUAUGAAGCAUACCCCCAACAGGAACCUAUUGGCUUAGGUCUUGGGCCAUGUUGCAGAAAAGCGAAGAGGAAGGAGACAAAAUAAAAGCUGCUUGUCAAUGAUUAGAGAUUGUGGCAAUGAAGAUUUUUGCUUCUAAUGGAUGGAGGUUUAUAAAUAGGAAUGUGUUACAACCAAACUAUCUAUCCUUUCAGUUGAGCUAUUGUUUUGUUUUAGAGGUUCGAUCCUCUUUUUGGGGCAGAUGUUUUUGGGGCAGAUGGAUGAGCUGUUGGUCCUGUAAUAACUUGGCCCUAUCAUCCCAGUGAGGUGAAAGCCGGAUAUUUUCCAUUUUCUAAAAAAAUAUAGUCAUAUUGAUUGACAGUUUAUGAACUAAAAAUUUGACAGUUUAUGACUAAAAAUGACUAAACUUUAGUCAUUAGUGUUUAGGAGGUGGGAACCAAACUCACUCUGUCUAACACGAUAAUGAUCGUGACCUUCAUGCAUGGCUACAUCCAUCUUUAUCUAUGUUGAUUUUGUUGCUUAGAGAUAUGGAUAGAGUUUUGUUGACGCUAAAUGCAACCGAAUUAACCUGUAACCCAAGAAUAUAAUUAGGCCGUUCAGCCAAUAUAUAUCAACACACCCUCAUUCCAUGUGAAUGGUUGCCCGAAUACGCCCACCUCGCGUUAGCCUCAACCGCUGGGAACGUGGCCGAGCCGCGUCUCCGCGGUGGGGCAGCAAAACAAAGGCUACCAUGCACACAUGGGUGCAGCAUGCCACCAUCCUCUACAACCAACCAAUCACGUGCUUUGUCUGGUCAAGGGCAUGUGGUGUGCCUUAGCGUAUUUGGUUGGGCAACUAAUCACGUGGAUUAUGAGCCAAGCUAGGAAAUCACGUUUCCAUAUAGUUGUUUUACAUAUGGUACAAAAGAGUAAAAGACCUACCUCUAUAAUUUGUCUUGAUAUAACCUAUUUGAAGUUUUUUAUUAAAUUAUUUUGUCAAAUUGUUGUCUUGUGCAGUCUUGAUAGCUAGCAACCAAUCGCCCAGUUUGAUUCGGCUUCUAAACCCACUCCUUUUAUUUUUUGAGUUCACGACAUUUGUAAGCAGUGAUGCCUCAUGCUACCCCUAUUUUCAGUGUAAAUAUGAUCUCUUAAGAUUCAUACAAUGUAAAUAUAAGAGAUAGCAAUUGUCCAGUACUUGCAACAACCUAGUACUUGCAACAACUUGCAUACUAUGAUGGCAAUAAGUGAAAAUUGAAGAAUACUCGGUAUUUCUUUUAGAAAUUUGUAUUUGCAUUUUUUAUGUUGGUGAUGGAUGAGGCCAUAAGGGACAUAUAAAGGGAUAUUUCUUGGUGUAUGCUCUUUACUGAUGAUAUGGUGUUAGUUGAUGAGAGUAGGGAAGGGGUUAAUAGGAAGCUAGAGUUCUAGAAGCACACGUUGGAGUCGAAAGAUUUUAGACUUAGUAGGACCAAGACCGAGUACAUGAUGUGCGUUUUCAGCAUGACUAGACAUGAUGAUGGAGAAGUUACCCUCGAUGGGCAAUUGGUGGCUAGGAAGGAGACUUUUCGGUAUUUAGAAUCAAUGAUACAAAAGGAUGGUAAUGUUGAUAAAGAUAUUAGGCAUAAAUUUCAGUCGGUUGGUUGAAAUGGUGUCAUGUUUCUGGCGUCCUCUAUGGUAAGAGGGUGCCACAAAAGAUUAAAGGUAAGUUUUAUAGGAUGGUGUUUCGCCCGGCUAUGGUGUAUGAUGUUGAAUGUUGGCCGAUAAAAAGGGGACAUGUCCAACAAUUGAGUGAAGAGGUGCACAUGUUACAUUGGUUUUGUGGGCACACAAGAGGGAUAGAGUCUGAAACGAAGAUAUUCUAAGAUAGUGUCAUUGGCACCAAUUAGGAGAAAUUAUAUCAACAUCGGUUGAGAUGGUUUAGGUUUUUCUUUCUAUUCUUAUUUCUUUUGGGUUUCGUCUCUGGUCUACCCUAAUUGUUUGGGACAAAAGGCUAUGUUGUUAUUGUUGUUACUGCUGGUGCUGCUAUUUAUGUUUUAGGUAUAAGGACCGUGGAGAGUCUAAAUUGAGGAUAAGGAACAAACAUUUCAACAUUAUAUUACCUGCUCUGUCACACAAUGCAAUUUGCAUCUAGCAGUGUAAGGGCCUGUUAUUCGAGGUGGAUUGAAGAGAAUUGGAGGAUGUCCCCUCUAAUUUCGAUAUGGAUCGAAGGAGAUUAUUGGAGAACCUAGGCGUAAGACGGCUACCAAAACCUGACGCAGCGUAGCUCGCCUACCCUGGUAGUAUUGAAAGUCUUUCCAUUCUCGCAGAUUUCACAGUGUUCAAAAGGUUAUAUAAGAAGAGAUGAUAAACAGGUGUUCUUGUUUUAUACAGUGUGUAUAUAUAGAGAGAGACAAAGAGCAAGUGAAUUUGUAGGAACAACGCCCACGGAGAACGAACGCAAGCCUAUUUCCUCAUCACAAGGAACGGAGGCAUACAUAGGUCUCAUGUGUGAGCACUGAGCACCGCUGGUUCCGGAUCAUCCUCAUGCCUUCCACCAUGGGUCCUCGCCGGUCCUGAAGUCGGUCUCCACCCACGGGACGAAGAGGACCUUGCCGUCGUCGACGUCGGCGUGAACCAGGGCCAGCGACUGUUAAUACAAGAACGCGCAAUAUUAAUGCAUACCAAGCAGAUCAACAAUUCGUUCCAAUAAGGAAGAUAUCGCCCCAGCUAGCGUGCGUUUGUUUUUACCAGAGGCGCCGGUCCACGGACCACCUUGCCCUGGUUGUUGUACUGGGAUCCGUGGCAGGGGCAGAUGAACUUGUUCUCAGCGCCGUUCCACGGCACGACGCAGCCGAGGUGAGUGCACACGGCGUUGAUCCCGUAGGUGGCCAGCGUCUUGUCCUGCUCCACCACCAGGUACGUGGGGUCACCCUGCACGCGCGGCGGCGCGCACAAACACGCCGGCCGUCAGCAUCAGCACGACAGACAUGCCUGCAGCUGCAGGUGACGACGACGAUGGCGGUGGGGUGACUGACCUUGAGCCCCUGCGCGAGCGUGCGGUCGUUGGGACCGUGCGUGUUGAGCCACGCCUCCACCGUGAUGUCGUUGCCCAGCUUGUCCUUCGCGUAGGUCCCGCCGCCGGCGUUCCCGGAGCUGCGUGCAAGAUCAACAGGACGAGGUACUUUCCGUUAAGUGCUGGCUGGCAGCUAACACGUAUGUACAGCGAGCCGCUAGGUAGCGAGACGACUCACCCGGCAGGGACGAAGAAGGCGCCGUAGGGGACGACCAUGCCGACGGUGGGCAACGAGAUGGCGCCGAGGAGGAGGAGGUUCAUCAGCUUCCGCUUCUCCAUGUCGGGGACGCGGUCGGCGGAGAUGCUGCUCGCCGCCUGGCACACAAUGCUCCGCUGGGCGCGCUCGCGGCCCAUGCUCAGGCCAAGCCCCUUCACCGGCUUGCCCAGCGAAGCGCGGGACCGGUAGAGCUGACAUUGCAGGCACGGGCAGCACAUACAAAUAAAGCAUGCGUAUUAUUCGCGCGAUUCAGAUUUAUCUUUGGUGAGCAAGAUCGAACACGCUGAUGAAGACUAGCAACGCCAUGGGCAGAGACUCUGUUUCCCCACGGCCAAACUGACACGAGACAAGGGUCAAGGCCAGGUGAGAGAGGCGCCCCGCGGCGGAAGAAGGAAGUUGCUGGCUCACCUGGGUGGGAUUGGCGGCGGUGGAGAGCGCCGCGGAGGUCGCCAUGGCUGCAGCAGGCGAGGAUCGGUAGGGGUCAGGAGUCGGGACAAUACGGCU
rnacentral:lncRNA from 1 species